GAUGAAGAACGCAGCGAAAUGCGAUACUUGGUGUGAAUUGCAGAAUCCCGUGAACCAUCGAGUCUUUGAACGCAAGUUGCGCCCGAAGCCAUUAGGCCGAGGGCACGCCUGCCUGGGCGUCACACGUCGUUGCCCCCCCAUCUACUCCUUCGGGAUUGCGGGGGGCGGAUGAUGGCCUCUCGUGCGCCUCGUCGCGCGGUUGGCCUAAAUGCCAAGUCCUCGGCGACGCACGCCACGACAAUCGGUGGUUGCGAAACCUCGGUUGCCUGUCGUGUGCGGUCGUCGCGCAUCGAGGGCUCGAAAAAAUUGCCGGGCUUCGGCUCGACUUUCAACGCGACCCCAGGUCAGGCGGGGUUACCCGCUGAAUUUAAGCAUAUCAAUAAGCGGAGG
rnacentral:misc_RNA from 1 species